CCUUGCUGAAUUAUUCACCCUUGUCUUUUGCGUACUUCUUGUUUCCUUGGUGGGUUCGCCCACCACUAGGACAAACAUAAACCUUUUGUAAUUGCAAUCAGCGUCAGUAACAAAUUAAUAAUUACAACUUUCAACAACGGAUCUCUUGGUUCUGGCAUCGAUGAAGAACGCAGCGAAAUGCGAUAAGUAGUGUGAAUUGCAGAAUUCAGUGAAUCAUCGAAUCUUUGAACGCACAUUGCGCCCUUUGGUAUUCCAAAGGGCAUGCCUGUUCGAGCGUCAUUUGUACCCUCAAGCUUUGCUUGGUGUUGGGCGUCUUGUCUCUAGCUUUGCUGGAGACUCGCCUUAAAGUAAUUGGCAGCCGGCCUACUGGUUUCGGAGCGCAGCACAAGUCGCACUCUCUAUCAGCAAAGGUCUAGCAUCCAUUAAGCCUUUUUUUCAACUUUUGACCUCGGAUCAGGUAGGGAUACCCGCUGAACUUAAGCAUAUCAAA
rnacentral:ncRNA from 2 species